CCUACGGGAGGCUGCAGUCGAGAAUCUUGGGCAAUGCACGAAAGUGUGACCCAGCGACGCCGCGUGGAGGAUGAAGGCCCUUGGGUUGUAAACUCCUUUUAUGAGGGAAGAACGAGCUUCGGCUCUUGACGGUACCUCAUGAAUAAGCCACGGCUAACUACGUGCCAGCAGCCGCGGUAAUACGUAGGUGGCAAGCGUUGUCCGGAUUUACUGGGCGUAAAGCGUAUGCAGGCGGAUCAUUAAGUAGGAAGUGAAAGGUUGGAGCUCAACUCCGACACUGCUCCCUAUACUGGUGGUCUUGAGUGCCGGAGAGGAAGAGGGAACGACACGUGUAGCGGUGAAAUGCGUUGAGAUGUGUCGGAACACCAAUGGCGAAAGCACUCUUCUGGACGGAAACUGACGCUGAGAUACGAAAGCUAAGGUAGCGAACAGGAUUAGAU
rnacentral:rRNA from 1 species